CUACGUGCGGGGUCCGGGGCGCGGGCGGGAGCGCAGCCUCCCUUCCCGACAACGAUUACUGAUUAGUGUGGCGGCAAGCGCGGCGGGGCCGCCCGCUUCGACGAACGAUGACGUAACACGCCCCGCCGAACGCAAAUAUAACCUAAAAUCAUUGAUAAAUACCAAUCCCCCGCCUAGAACUCUCGUUCUUUAAAGUGGUCGCUGCCCAGGCGGCGUGCGUACGGCGAACAGCUGACGGUCGCGCGUAGAACCCAUGUGCUACUACGAUUGUGAUAUGUAUAAGCGGCGUAUUUUGUGAUUGAAUCGGAUGGCGGUGUCAGCACGUCAUAGGGCACUGAAGAUGAAGAUCUGCACGUACUUGCUGCUCAGCUUCUUGGCAGUGCGGGCGUCGCCGGAGCCGCGGCGGGUGCCGCCGCUGCAGGAGCCACCGCGUCACGUGGAGUUCACCAACAACACGGGCGCCACGCUCACGUGCUCCACUAGGGGAGAUUAUCAG